CCUACGGGAGGCAGCAGUGGGGUAUAUUGCACAAUGGGGGAAACCCUGAUGCAGCGACGCCGCGUGAGUGAAGAAGUAUUUCGGUAUGUAAAGCUCUAUCAGCAGGGAAGAAAAAAGACGGUACCUGACUAAGACGCCCCUGCUCACUACGUGCCAGCAGCCGCGGUCAUACGUAGGGGGCAAGCUUUAUCCGGAUUUACUGGGUGUAAAGGGAUCGUAGACGGCAAUACAAGACGGAAGUGAAAUAUCCGGGCUCAACAUGGGAACUGCUUUGGAAACUGGAUGGCUAGAGUGCUGGAGAGGUAAGCGGAAUUCCUAGGGUAGCGGUGAAAUGCGUAGAUAUUAGGAGGAACACCAGUGGCGAAGGCGGCUUACUGGACAGUAACUGACGUUGAGGCUCGAAAGCGUGGGGAGCAAACAGGAUUAGAUACCCUUGUAGUC
rnacentral:rRNA from 1 species